rfam:Hordeum vulgare subsp. vulgare, WGS project CAJW01000000 data, contig: morex_contig_2346889
AAUGUACUCCCUCCGUCCCAAAAUUAUUGUUUUUGAUUUGUCUAGAUAUGGAUGUUUCUAGUCAUGUGUUAGUAUUUAGAUACAUCUAUUCCUAGACAAACGUAAGACAAGAAUUUUGGGAUGGAGGGAGUACUAU